AGAGUUUGAUCAUGGCUCAGGAUGAACGCUGGCGGUAUGCUUAACACAUGCAAGUCGAACGGGAUCAUUCGUGGUCUAGUGGCGGACGGGUGAGUAACGCGUGAGAAUCUGCCCUUAGGUUGGGGACAACCACUGGAAACGGUGGCUAAUACCGAAUAAGCCGAGAGCUGAAAGAUUAAUUGCCUAGGGAGGAGCUCGCGUCUGAUUAGCUAGUUGGAGAGGUAAGAGCUCACCAAGGCGACGAUCAGUAACUGGUCUGAGAGGAUGAGCAGUCACACUGGGACUGAGACACGGCCCAGACUCCUACGGGAGGCAGCAGUGGGGAAUUUUCCGCAAUGGGCGAAAGCCUGACGGAGCAAUACCGCGUGAGGGAGGAAGGCUCUUGGGUUGUAAACCUCUUUUCUCAGGGAAGAAGAAUGACGGUACCUGAGGAAUAAGCAUCGGCGAAAUCCGUGCCAGCCGCCGCCGGUAAUUC
rnacentral:rRNA from 1 species